UGAGGGUGACAGAGAGACUGGGAGAGGUGUCUUCUGGGUCUUUUACGAGAGAAAGAGGUCUUCUGCGAGAGACAUGCACAGAAAGAAGAAGAGGGAAAUUCACAUCGCCAGACUGAUCGGAGAGAGAAGGAGAAGAGGGGGACGAGAAGAAGAAGAAGAGGAAUCUGGAUUGCCCGACUGCGCCGAUUAGGUCCUCCACAAGCGGAAGGAGUUUCUGGGUCUUUUACUUUUCCACUUCUACCAGAAGCUUGUACGAUUAUUUAUGUCUUCUUCGAUGAUGAUUACUUUAAAUUCUCGGCGUGACAUCAUUGAGUUGACGCUAACUUUAUGUUCUUUGGGGACCUUGAAGAGAAUAGAAUUUUAGCAGGGUAAAGGGAACCCAAUCAUAGCAAGUGUUUAUUUCUUCGGUUAGUAAGUUUACUGAUGGUACUGCUACAUAUGAAAUAGAUUGACAUAACUAAUAUCCUGGUGACUUCACUGAUUUGUUCCAACUCACCUCCACAAAGUAUUUCAAUGACGUAGCUUUGCAAAAUCCGAGCCAAGCUUACAUUUUUAUCGAUUAUGGAACUUGGGUUUGUAUUUCA